rnacentral:rRNA from 1 species
GAUGAACGCUGGCGGCGUGCCUAAUACAUGCAAGUCGAGCGAACAGACGAGGAGCUUGCUCCUCUGACGUUAGCGGCGGACGGGUGAGUAACACGUGGAUAACCUACCUAUAAGACUGGGAUAACUUCGUGAAACCGGAGCUAAUACCGGAGAAUAUAUUGAACCGCAUGGUUCAAUAGUGAAUGACGGUUUUGCUGUCACUUAUAGAUGGAUCCGCGCCGCAUUAGCUAGUUGGUAAGGUAACGGCUUACCAAGGCAACGAUGCGUAGCCGACCUGAGAGGAUGAUCGGCCACACUGGAACUGAGACACGGUCCAGACUCCUACGGGAGGCAGCAGUAGGGAAUCUUCCGCAAUGGGCGAAAGCCUGACGGAGCAACGCCGCGUGAGUGAUGAAGGUCUUCGGAUCGUAAAACUCUGUUAUUAGGGAAGAACAAAUGUGUAAGUAACUAUGCACGUCUUGACGGUACCUAAUCAGAAAGCCACGGCUAACUACGUG